AACGAACGCUGGCGGCAUGCCUAACACAUGCAAGUCGAACGAGACCUUCGUGUCUAGUUGCGCACGCGUGCGUCACGCGUGGGAAGCUGCCCUUAGGUUCGGAAUACCUCAGAGAAGUUUGAGCUAAUGCCGGAUAAUGUCUUCUGACCCAAGAUUUAUCGCGUUUGGAUGGGCCCGCGUAGUAUUAGCUUGUUGGUGGGGUAAUGGCCUAUCACGGCGACGAUCCUUAGCUGGGCAGAGAGGAUGAUCAGCCACACUGGGACUGAGAAGCGGUCGAGAAUACUGCGGGAGGGAGGAGAGGGGAAUACUGGACAACCGGCGAAAGGCUGAACCAGCAAUGGUGGGUGAGUGAUGAAGGCGUGAGGGAAGUAAAGCACGUUUAUCAGGGAUGAUAAUGACAGUACCUGGAGAAUAAGCACCGGCUAACUCCGUG
rnacentral:rRNA from 1 species